rnacentral:tRNA from 1 species
GAGGGUAUAGCUCAACUGGUAGAGCGCAUGCUUAGCAGGCACGAGGUCCCGGGUUCAACCCCCAGCACCUCCA